AAGUUUCACAGUUUAAGACAUCGAUCAAAUUCUUUUCAGAUCACUGGAUUCAAUCCAAGCCACCAUUUUUGUCAGGUAAGGAUCUCGAUUUUCCUUUGUCCUAUGGGAGAUUCAAUAUCGUUGUUGCUCCAUCGUUUUUCUUCGUUCUCCUGUGGUAAAAUUGGUGGAUCUAGUGAGUUAGACAUGAAAGUGGAUUUAUCACAGACGCAUAUUGAUUGUUCUGGCUUCCAUUUUUUGAAUUCAACUCAUCACGCUUGGUAAUUAUAGAAGCCAUGCACAAAUCAAUUAGAAAUUCUUUUCUAUCGAUUUUCAAAACUUCAAUAGAUAAGAAAAAAAUAUGAACAUAUAGUUUAAAUGUUGUAGCAUGUUUUAUUUUUGUAAUAGGAGCAUGAAAUGGUUGAUAGUUUAACAUAGCUGAAACGAAAAAUGUAAGAACAAUCGUAUAUUACAUAAAAUCUUAGGAUUAUAAAAAAGAACAUGUGCAAAUUCUGUUGAUGCACGAAUCACACAAGUAAGAAAUUGGGAUCUCUAGGGAAAGAAGAAAAAUCUUUCUUUUAAUAACGAGCCCGCGAUUAGGCAAAUUGGACGGAUUACAAAGGAUGAUCUCUUUAACGAGUAUAGACGGAGUAUGAACGAGCCGAUUGUAGAUGAAAGGCGAGCUUGAGGCCGGAAGACGAUCUUGAUGUCCGAGGAAGAAUAGAGUUUAUUCGUUUUAUAGCUGAACCUUGUAAAAAGCUGCCUACGUACCCUUUGAAAGGGAUCAAGCCAUACGUAGUUUAUAUCGUAAUAAACGAGCUAGGCCAUUACUGAAGGUAUGUCGUAUGUUGAGUUAGGCAGUUUCGAGACGAUCCGGCGGGAAGGUGAUGAGCUGAGCAGCUUCUUGAAACGUGUGAGUAGGUAAGUUACUUCGGGCGGGCAAGUCGGCGAGACACUUCGGACGGACAAGUAAACGAGCUACUCGGGACGGGCGAGUGGACGAGAUACUUCGAUCGGGCGAACUGGCGAGCUGUUUGAGACGGGCAAGCUGACGAGCUGUUUGAGACGGACAAGCUGACGAGCUGUUCGAGACGGGCAAGCUGACGAGCUGUUCGAGACGGGCAAGCUGACGAGCUGUUCGAGACGGGCAAGCUGACGAGCUGUUCGAGACGGGCAAGUUGACGAGCUGUUUGAGACGGGCAAGCUGACGAGCUGUUUGAGACGGGCAAGUGGAUGAGAGCUCUUUGUCUCUGCGUGUCAAGCCGGAUCCAGAUCCUUUUGACAGGACAUGCUAUUCCGUAUUUAUAGUACUCUGCGUGUAGGGCACUCCUCUAGGGCUUUGACGAGCCUACCCUCUUGACUUAACAUUCUGCUUAGGCCUUUGAUUUGGAUUUGGGCUUUGGGCCAAGCAAGCCCAAAUCUAACCCCUAACAAAUUCUAACAUUAAUGAUGAAGUUUCGAGAAUUGAGUGACUUACUCGAGAAAGAAUAAUGACAAAUGAAACAGCAAUCGAUUUGUGACAGUUUUUUUUAAUCUUGACAAAAGGUACAAUGUUGGUGUGAGAUGGAGAAAUGAUUUUGUGUUUGCUGAGUUUAGAUCUUGGAAAUGAAAGUGUAUUUAUAGAGUUUGAAAGGAUUGAUAUGGUUUUAGGUUAGAGAAUAUAUAAAAUUUAAAAGAAUAUAGUUUUGAGAAGAUUUGGUAUAUUCGAAAUCUUUAAAUUAGGAAAAAAGAAUAUGCUAAGUUGAUGCUUAAACAAAUAAGGAUAAAAUAUUUUUGUUAUGAGCUAAUUUCCUUUAUCGAUAAGGUGAAAUAAAUAUCGAAUUAUUUGUAGGAAACAAAUGAUAAAUGGAAUUUAUUCAUCGCAGUUAAAUAGGCAACAUUUUCCUUUGAGAAAUAAGUUUGUUAUAAUUUUAUAUAUUGUCCAUAUCUUUUACAAAUCGGAGAAUAAAUGUUGUUUUACUUGAAUGUUGGAAGUAACCUUCAAGUAAAGCUUGUAUUAAAGAAAUAUUAACGCAAUUGUUAAUGUGGUUUUCUUUUUUGUGGGGAUAUUUUACCUAAAAAUAUAUAACCAACGAUCAACGAUAAUUAAGGAAUGAGUAUAAUAUCUGCGAUAUAAGCAAGAUCCGUUUCAAUAUUUUUAAAAUUAUGUUUACUAAG
rnacentral:sRNA from 1 species